rnacentral:rRNA from 1 species
AGAGUUUGAUCCUGUCUCAGGACGAACGCGGGCGGCGUGCCUAAUACAUGCAAGUCGAACGCUUCUUUUUCCACCGGAGCUUGCUCCACCGGAAAAAGAGGAGUGGCGAACGGGUGAGUAACACGUGGGUAACCUGCCCAUCAGAAGGGGAUAACACUUGGAAACAGGUGCUAAUACCGUAUAACAAUCGAAACCGCAUGGUUUUGAUUUGAAAGGCGCUUUCGGGUGUCGCUGAUGGAUGGACCCGCGGUGCAUUAGCUAGUUGGUGAGGUAACGGCUCACCAAGGCGACGAUGCAUAGCCGACCUGAGAGGGUGAUCGGCCACAUUGGGACUGAGACACGGCCCAAACUCCUACGGGAGGCAGCAGUAGGGAAUCUUCGGCAAUGGACGAAAGUCUGACCGAGCAACGCCGCGUGAGUGAAGAAGGUUUUCGGAUCGUAAAACUCUGUUGUUAGAGAAGAACAAGGAUGAGAGUAACUGUUCAUCCCUUGACGGUAUCUAACCAGAAAGCCACGGCUAACUACGUGCCAGCAGCCGCGGUAAUACGUAGGUGGCAAGCGUUGUCCGGAUUUAUUGGGCGUAAAGCGAGCGCAGGCGGUUUCUUAAGUCUGAUGUGAAAGCCCCCGGCUCAACCGGGGAGGGUCAUUGGAAACUGGGAGACUUGAGUGCAGAAGAGGAGAGUGGAAUUCCAUGUGUAGCGGUGAAAUGCGUAGAUAUAUGGAGGAACACCAGUGGCGAAGGCGGCUCUCUGGUCUGUAACUGACGCUGAGGCUCGAAAGCGUGGGGAGCAAACAGGAUUAGAUACCCUGGUAGUCCACGCCGUAAACGAUGAGUGCUAAGUGUUGGAGGGUUUCCGCCCUUCAGUGCUGCAGCUAACGCAUUAAGCACUCCGCCUGGGGAGUACGACCGCAAGGUUGAAACUCAAAGGAAUUGACGGGGGCCCGCACAAGCGGUGGAGCAUGUGGUUUAAUUCGAAGCAACGCGAAGAACCUUACCAGGUCUUGACAUCCUUUGACCACUCUAGAGAUAGAGCUUCCCCUUCGGGGGCAAAGUGACAGGUGGUGCAUGGUUGUCGUCAGCUCGUGUCGUGAGAUGUUGGGUUAAGUCCCGCAACGAGCGCAACCCUUAUUGUUAGUUGCCAUCAUUUAGUUGGGCACUCUAGCAAGACUGCCGGUGACAAACCGGAGGAAGGUGGGGAUGACGUCAAAUCAUCAUGCCCCUUAUGACCUGGGCUACACACGUGCUACAAUGGGAAGUACAACGAGUCGCAAAGUCGCGAGGCUAAGCUAAUCUCUUAAAGCUUCUCUCAGUUCGGAUUGUAGGCUGCAACUCGCCUACAUGAAGCCGGAAUCGCUAGUAAUCGCGGAUCAGCACGCCGCGGUGAAUACGUUCCCGGGCCUUGUACACACCGCCCGUCACACCACGAGAGUUUGUAACACCCGAAGUCGGUGAGGU